AUGUCAGCAGUUACUGCACUAUAAAAUCAGCUGAUAUAUCAAAUAAAAAAUAUAACAAAACAUCAACUUAGACCUGAAUUAAUCAAUAUUUAUAAAUAAUAGGUCGAUGACAUGGUUUUGUGCAUACUAUUAAUAACUUUUAUUAAAAGAUAAUGAAUGCUAUUAUUGGUUUGUGUCACUUCUGUGAAGCCCAUGGACCCAGGCCGCUGUUUUGUACUUUUACCACUGACGAAGAACAACACACCACAGAAUCAUCUAAGGGUCCAGUAGAAUGCAGUGGUUGUACUUCUCUUGGUCCCGACACAGUAUUAGUUACUAAAGAUGAUAAUGGAAUUAUGUACUGCAGCAGGGAAUCAGUGCCAAAUGAUGAUGUAACUGCGUUUCUUCGACAAGCGGCUUUAAGAAGUAUCACUUGCGAAGUAAGCUGGGAUAAAUACAGUGGAAUUGUAUAUUUUAGUGAAACCCAAGGACAUGUGUUGAGCCACAUGUUUCACAUGAAAGAUACUCGGGCGAGAGGUUUGAAAAGGUUAUUUUCAAUAGUUGUCCUUAUGAAAGAUAAAAUGUUUUUACUGAAUUUAACACCAGUCUUAUCAGAGCAUAUGAAGAAAAUAUCAAACGAAUUGCAACAGCUAGCUGAAACUGUUUACGAUAAUGAGCAAAGCAUAUGUUCACAAAGAGCCUUGAGAUUAAAAACUGGAAGACAUGAUUUUGGGCAGUCUCGACCUUUAAUGCAACUGACUAAUGACACUGACAUAUUUAAAAGACUACAUACACAUUUUACAUGGAUGUUGAAAACUGGAGCCUUAAUUUAUUCAGAGACUCUUUACACAAGUCGGGAAUUGCUAAAUAAGCUACAACCAGAAACAACUAGGAGGAGUAUUUUUGAAGACACAUGCCUUGUUGAAGAUAGCAAUGAGAAAAUGUCUAUAAGGAAUCUAGCAAAUGUAUUGGCCACAGAUGUGUUUAUAAAAGUCUUAUAUUGUGUAUUAACUGGCGUAAAAAUUGUUAUCUCUCUAGAACAAAAUAAUUCAAAAGCUAUAUUAGAAGCUUUAAAAUCACUUCUGCCAAAAGGAAACAUACCUAUUGAAAUAAGUAAAAGCAACAGUCAAUUAAAUGUGUGUGUUUUAGAAGAAUGUCAAAAUAUCUUUAGUUGCAAAUGGAAUAACCUUCCUUUCAAAAGUUUAUACAUUUGCAGAUCCAACACUUAUGAACAAAAUAUUGAAUGCUAUGAAUAAUGAUAAAUUCUGUGAUGCUGUUUUGGUCCAGCAUUUAAAAUCGUUACAACUGGAAUGGCUAGGGAUAGCAAAAACUAUAAAAUCAUCAAUUCUAGCAUCAGGUCAAAAUGCAGAUGCUGUUAAAAAUUUAAAGAAGAUAUUAGGGGUAUCUCAACAUGAUGAAAUCUUAGUUAACUAUUGGAUGGUAGCAUUUUGUGAAUAGACCAACUACUUCUGUGAUAUUAAAAAUUUAUAAGCAAUAUUCAA